UUUUAGCAUUGUUUCCUAAGCCACAAAGAGCUCUGGUGGGUAAAGUAGGUAUGUAUGCAUUCCUGGAGAACUGAGAGAAGAAAUGGAAAGACUUUCAAAUGAAAACAGAGUUAAAUUCUUUCUACAUUUGUAUUUGAAUAUAAAAUGAUUAUUCCAGAUCACUAAGAAUAAUGAAUUGUUUGGACAACUCAUUGCAUCAAAGCUGUAACAAAUGUUAAAAGUCACAACUUCAAACUGAUUUUUGCUAGCCAGCAGAAAUGUGUUAUACCCUUCCAAGAGAAACUCAAGAGAAUCCCUGUGGAGACCAGAAGAGGUUUUGUGAUGUUGCAGAUAUGUCAUAAAAAUACAAGUGUUACCGUAGCAAUCACUUUUAUUUAUUCUUAGCAAGAUCAUGAUGGAUAUAGUGAACAAUCAAUGCUCUAAUCCAUCUUUUAUUCUUUUCUAGGAUGUUACAUACUUUUUGGAUUGUUAAUAACUUUUAUAAUACUCAUAUCAAUGAUUUACUAAUUCUGAGGACUCCAUCAUGGAAUUGGUUAUUGUGGUUUUCCUCAAAUUGUUGUACUGACCGGUGGAAAAUCAAGCAUAGCUGCUAGGUUUCCAGGUGACUUUCAUCUCUUGGGCUCCUCCAUCUUCAAGAUAUGACUUCUGAGGAUGUCGUGCUCAUUUAUAUAAAUCCAGAAUAAUGAAGAAAACAUGGAAGAAAGUACCAGAAAGAUUUCCAUGGGACUUAUCUGGAAGGGCAAUCCACCAAUCACAAUUCACUGGCUAGAACUCCACCAACAUGGUUACAUCUAACUGCAAGACGAGAUCAGGAAUGGAGUCCAGGUGCAUGCCCCAAAAGAAGGUGACAGUGUUUGAGGAACAGUCACAUCAAGAUGUUAACAAUAUAAAAAGUUAACAUGAGCAAAAUGUAACAAACUAUAUUAUAAAUAAUUGAACAUAUUUAAAUACUAUAUAGCUUCAUAGUGGGUUGUAUUAUAUAAUUGGGCUGGCAAAAGAAGAGAUUAAUGUAUCUUUAUAAUAAUUAAAUAUUAAUGGAAAAUGGUGUAUUUGAAGAGGUUUGUAGAAGGGCAGUGCAGAAAAGGUGGGUAGAUAUACAUGGGAAGAUGCUGCUGCAUUCUGAAGAGUAGUCUGGGAAUAUUCUUGCUCAAGUGUUGAGAUAUCCAUCCAAAAAUGAUCCCUAGAGCUGUGUGCCUGCACAAAUGAAAAUUUACAGCCUCCUUCUCAAUACCAUCGUGCAGUGUUAGAAACUUUAUCAUCAUAGGAUUGCUUUUGGUAUUUGCUUCAAGCCCUAGGUGGUAAACAUAGAGGUGAGACAGAGCCUAAAAACAGAAAGUUCUGGAGGGGACUUUAACAAAACUCAAGAGUUGGGUUCUUUGGGAGGAACCAAUGCAAUACCUCUUAGUGAUCUGUAGAUUGAGGGAAGGAACUCAGUUCAGUCUGGACUUCUUUGUAUUCCCAACACUAGCUAGAACCUACUAAGAAAAUAUAUUCAACAUGAAAAUUUUUAAAUGACCAAAUUUAAAUUUGGUUAUGAAAUUUAAAUUUUUGUUACGAGAAGAACAAAGAAAUGAGGAGAGACUAGAGAAGUGUUUCUACAGACUGGAGAGGCAAAGGCUAAGAGAUUAUAUGGCUGAAGCUCGUGAAGUCAUAAAGGAUACAGAGUGAAUAUAGGUUGUACACUGAAUCCAAACAUGUGGGAAACAGGUGGAACCUCUUAAAGCUUGAGCCAGAUAAGUUUAAGACUGAUAAAAGUAAAACCUGUACACCUUCUUUCCUGGUUGUAGUUUAAUUAUUUAAACUAUUAUUUAAACUAUUAUUCAAUUAAUUAAAUUAUUUUGAGAAGAUGCCCAAGUUUUGGGGCUUAGUGGUAUGUUCUCAUUUUCUACUUGUAUAUCAAUGUCUCUCUUUUAUGCUCAGAGAACAAACAGAAUUGUGAUUUGUAUUUUCCAAUUAGCAAAGAUGGUUUAAUGUACUUGGACAAUUAGAUUGAUUUCUUUGGGGAUUUAGGGGCACACCAGCCUGUUGAUAUACUCUUCCACACUAUGCUCAGUCAUUUGGAGAGGCGCUGCACCCUACAUAAAACACUUCCAAUAGCUGCUGACUUCCAAAGCUAAUCCUUUUUAAAAUUCCUACUCCAUCCUUCUGAUUUUAUCAAGAAGAAAGUCUCAUUUUGGUGUUCAUCUGUCUUUAACAGCUAACACUUGCUAACUUCCCUUUUAACAGAGAAUAGGAGUUCAGUAAAUAAUCGAAUCUUUGAUAAACC
rnacentral:lncRNA from 1 species